CAGCCGUAAACUAUGCGCGUUAGGUGUAUCGGUGACCACGAGUUACCGAGGUGCCGAAGGGAACCGUGAAACGUGCCGCCUGGGAAGUACGGUCGCAAGGCUGAAACUUAAAGGAAUUGGCGGGGGGAGGCACCACAACAGGUGGAGCCUGCGGUUUAAUUUGGACUCAACGCCGGGAAGCUCACCGGAUAGGACAGCAGAAUGAUUGCCGGGCUGAAGACCCUGCAUGACUAGCUGAGAGGAGGUGCAUGGCGUAGACGUCU
rnacentral:rRNA from 1 species